rnacentral:rRNA from 1 species
UACGUAUGGUGCAAGCGUUAUCCGGAUUUACUGGGUGUAAAGGGAGCGUAGGCGGCGCGUUAAGUCUGAUGUGAAAACCCGAGGCUCAACCACAGGAGUGCAUUGGAAACUGGCGGGCUGGAGUGCCGGAGAGGUAAGCGGAAUUCCUAGUGUAGCGGUGAAAUGCGUAGAUAUUAGGAGGAACACCAGUGGCGAAGGCGGCUUACUGGACGGCAACUGACGCUGAGGCUCGAAAGCGUGGGGAGCAAACAGG